UACAGAGGGUGCGAGCGUUAAUCGGAAUUACUGGGCGUAAAGCGCGCGUAGGCGGCUUUGCAAGUCGAUUGUGAAAUCCCCAGGCUUAACCUGGGAACUGCAUUCGAGACUGCAUAGCUAGAGUAUGGGAGAGGGAAGUGGAAUUUCAGGUGUAGCGGUGAAAUGCGUAGAUAUCUGAAGGAACAUCAGUGGCGAAGGCGGCUAUCUGGACGGUUACUGACGCUAAGACGCGAAAGCGUGGGGAGCAAACAGG
rnacentral:rRNA from 1 species